rnacentral:rRNA from 1 species
UACGUAGGGUGCAAGCGUUAAUCGGAAUUACUGGGCGUAAAGCGUGCGCAGGCGGUUUUAUAAGACAGAGGUGAAAUCCCCGGGCUCAACCUGGGAACUGCCUUUGUGACUGUAAGGCUAGAGUGUGUCAGAGGGGGGUAGAAUUCCACGUGUAGCAGUGAAAUGCGUAGAUAUGUGGAGGAAUACCGAUGGCGAAGGCAGCCCCCUGGGAUAACACUGACGCUCAUGCACGAAAGCGUGGGGAGCAAAC